UACUUAGCGGCGGACGGGUGAGUAACGCGUGGGUAACCUGCCUUACACUGGGGGAUAACAGUUAGAAAUGACUGCUAAUACCGCAUAAGCGCACAGGGCCGCAUGGUCUGGUGUGAAAAAACUCCGGUGGUGUAAGAUGGACCCGCGUCUGAUUAGGUAGUUGGUGGGGUAACGGCCCACCAAGCCGACGAUCAGUAGCCGACCUGAGAGGGUGACCGGCCACAUUGGGACUGAGACACGGCCCAA
rnacentral:rRNA from 1 species